CACCACACCCACAGGAUCUGAGCCACAUCUGGAACCUACACCACAACUCAGGGCAGCAUCGGAUCCUUAACCCAUUAACUGAGGCCACAGAUCGAACCCAUAUCCUCAUGGAUACUAGCUGGGUUCUUAACCUGCUGAGCCACAGUGGGGACUCUGAAGCUCAUGUCUUUAUUGAGAAUUGGUACAAGUGCCCCCCUGGUUAAGAGGCACGGGGGGCCAUGUGAUGGUUAAAAGCCCAGUUUCUACACCUCUGAGCUGUGUGACUGCAGACAAAGUUUCCCCAUUCCUCCCUUGUGAAAGGAGGCUAUGCCCCGCCAUCAAAUGAUCGCUGCGCUCAGUAAAGAACGUGUGUAAGGACCCAGCACAUAAUGGCAGCUCUCAUUAUUCGCAUUUGCUUCGUUGUUAUUGAUGGAUGUGGACCAAUAUACAGAUGAGGAACCUGAGACCCACGGCCGCCCCUGCAGGGUGUGUGUUCUGAUCCGACAUGGAACUGUCGGAGUUUGGAAUUACCACGCAUCUUGCCUCCCUUCCCACCAGCUCCACUCACAUCUCUUGUCUCUGAGUCUGGCCAAGAGUCUGAGAGCCAGGUGUCCUUGGGCUUCAGAAGCUCCAGAGCAGGAGGACAAAGGAGCAGACACAAGAAGUCUGGUGGUGUUUCCAGGACUCCUUUGCUUCUGCGGCUUCAGCUUAGAUUGGAAAGGGUAUGAGUCCAGCCCCCGACAUGGCAGGGAGCUGCGUCAGAGCAGGACCAACCUUUAUUAAGGCUCUGCCAUGCUCGAGUCUGAUGCCCCGCCUUGAGGAGCUAAGAGUCGUCAAAAAUAACUACAGGGCAGAACAAUGCCCAGCGUGGAGCCCCUCCCUGUGGCGCCCACAUGGCCCCUGCAGCAGCGUCCUGCCAGCCCUGGUUCUUUCCUAUCUGUUACCCACAUGCCUGGGGAGGCCAGAAGUCAACAACAGUGCUACGGAAAGAAGGAAGUUCUUAUCCCAUCAGCUGACACCCGAGUCCCUCUCAGGGAAGGGCUGGGACCUUGAAGACAGAUCAAACCUCUCUGUUGUAGGAAUCUGGGAUGGCAGAGAGCUGAAAAGAGCUUAGGAACGAGGAGACGCAGGCUGGCCUCUGGGUAUCAGGACUAGCCAAGGGAUGUCUAAAUUUGCCUUUGAGCUGUCCAUACGGCCGUGAGGUAAACUCCCUCUGUCUCCCCAAGCUUCCCAUGAAGUUGGCUACACACAAGAACUUGUUAGAUUUUUUUUCUUUUUUGAAGUGAAAAUUAGGAGAAGGGAUUGAGUCACAUUUCAGAUGGAUUUGAUAUGGAAUAGGACGGGGGGCACCUCUGAAAACAAGCAGGAAUACUAAUAUCAGUUUGUGCAUUAUACUUUCCAAAGUGCUUUCCCAUAUUUGUCCCUCUUGACCUCAGCAUUUUGUUUCAGUUUUCAGACAAGGAGACUGCGGCCCUGAGAGGUCAGGAGACUCAUUCAAAGCGGCACUGCCCAGGGUCUGCAUCCCGCUGCUGUUGGGCCCUCUGCUGACUCAGCACUGCCCAGGCAUCUGGUUGCAAGAGUUUGCUCAUCAUUAGGAUGUUAAGUGACUCCAAAAAUACUAUGGGGUGACUUCCUGGAGGCAGAGCUGAGCUUCCAUGUAGGGCUCAGGACCCAUCUCCGCCUGGACUUAUCCCCAACCCCACCCCCAGCUGCUGGGGAGCAGGAGGGUGAAGGUAAGGGACCAAGGGCAAGCUCAACCCAACAGGCCCAAGAGAGGAAGCGCUGCUUGUUUGGUGCAGCAAAGAGGAUGGUAAGGAAGCUUCAGGGGGUUACAUGGGGCCAGAACCCAGGGAUCUGUGCAUGUACAGCUGGGGGAAGUUCAGGGUCAAGGGCAAGGACCUCGGAAGAGUCUGCACGCCAGGCGGCUCUGCCAAGCAGUUGCAGCUGUCCCUGGCAGCCACAGGAGGGGCCGUUUUUGACCAGGACUCACUCAACCCCAUCAUCUUGAUGGGGAGAAAGUCCUGCAGAAGCUGCUCUGUGCCCAGCAUGCAGGUGCCCUGCUUUCUCACUAGAGGGAGCCCAAGUUCUCACUCGCCACUUGCGUCCCACCCGACCAGGGGUGACCUCCCUUCUGUGCCAGAGAAGAUGCAGGUCAGGGGGCCAGGGGAGGAGCAGCUCUCUCUCCUAGUGAUGGGGAGACCUCAAGGGACUUUGGAACACGAUUUCAGGAAUCCCGGGCAGCAGUGGAGAGAUUUCACGGUGACAUGAGUGCUGAUUCUACUCACAGUUCGUGAGACCGUACAACCUCCACCCUGAACCUGGUAUUCUGUAUUCUGUAUUCUGCCCUCAACCUGCUCCCCCAACCCAGGAUGAGAACUCUUCUGGGCAAAUCCUACCAAGUCCAGACUCCCAGUACCUAGACACAGGGACAGAAGAUGGGAGUGGCUGGGCUGCGCGCAUGACAAGAAGACAGUCCCAGGGGCGGUCAGACCUGUGGGCUCUGGAGUCAGGCGAAUUUUGCUUCCAAAUCCUCCUCCAAAUAGCUGUGAUUGCCAAGGAACCAGGAACCUUGUCUAUCUUGCACACCACAAAACCCCCAAUGCCUAGAAUAGAGCCUGGCUCACACAGAGCAGUCAAUAUUUUAUGAAUAAACCAGUGGCUGCAACCUCACGGCUUCUUUAACCUUGCACCAGUUACUUCAUCUCUUGGAGUCUCCGCUCCCUCCUCUGCAAAAUGGGCCAGACAUCUGCUUACCAGGUGGCGAGGAUUAAAUGACGACAUGCAGCUACUGCGCUCAGCACGGCGCUUAGUGUAUACGAGCAGCUAAUUCGCAGUUCGUCUUUGUGGGGCACUUGGUGACGUACCGUGCGUGAGCGGGCAUGUGCGUCCGUGUCCACACGUUUGCGCGUGCGUCUCCGGGGAUGUGCGUUCGUGCGUGUGCGUACGUCAUCUCCAGGACCCGCCCGGGGGGUUAGUUCUAUCACUAUCUCCCUCUUUCAACUGAGAAAGUUGCGGCAACACAUCCAAAGCUUUUAAGCCCAGACAUUUACAGCUUUGUUCUUAGGCUCCAACGUUGCUCAAGAGGCCUCUUGAUCUGAUACUCUGUGGUUUGGGUCACUUUGUGCAGAGGACAAGGCGAGUCUUCUGCCAUCCUUUUCUGCAUCUGACACUCACUCCCAAAGCUGGUGACCACAGGCACCCAAGAGGUGAUGAGCUGAGUUGCCCAGGUGUCCGGACAUAGGGGCCAGCCUUGCAUCACACUGCUGUGUGGAAACAGGAUGGGCUCAAGGCGUUUACAGCCCACCCCAGGGGCUCUCAGCCUGUAGCAUCUGUGAGCCGCUCCCAUGCCACUGGCUAAAUUCGGAUGGUAGUGCUCACCCCCAGCCCCGGAUGGCGAGUCUGUAAGUCUGGAGGGGGGACUUUGGGGCCUGGAUCUUUGACAAGCUCCCUGGUAAUUCUAUGUAAAUGUUCUACUUUUGGAAAUUUGGAAAUUAAAAAAAAAGAUCUAUCAAAUAGGUAUGUGCCGUAGAGUUAUCUGUUAACCAGGAAGGAAUAGGAGAGCAGACUCAAUUUUGGCUUUUCAAGAAAAAGGGGCAUGUGAGAGAGAUGUCAUUCUAAGGCUAAGUCCCCACCCACAACCAGCUCCCUCCCCCAAGCACUGGCCCACUGGCCUCCCUCCCCCAGAGGAAGCUGAGUGGGCUCCCAGGCAGCCCUGCCAACAGGGCAGAGAACUUGAAGCCCAGAGAAAGGGAAGGAGUAGGGAAUGAGAGCUCCUCCCUGUGUCUCGGCUGCUCCACCUCCCUUCGCUUCCACUGGAAACAAGAAAAUUGCCAAGUAAUUGCUCUUUGACAACCCCUGCUGGUCUCGCCUUUCUUUCUUGCUGAGAUUAUAAUUAGAGAAUCAGUAAAUUUAAAUAGAAAAUCCAUGAGCAGCACAGAGCCUUCACCUUUCAAACGCUGUUUCGUGUACCCUGUGAGUGGCACUUGCGCCCUGUGCAGGCAGCGCUGGCAGGGCGAGGCCAGAGUCAGGUGGGGACAGGAAGCUGGGCGCAGAGCCCCCGCAAAGGUGCAGGAGCAGCAGCAGCAGCGUGGGUGGUAGGUGAGCACUUGCUGUGCCCCAGAGGCUGGGCUGUGUGUUUUCUAAGCCUGGUCUUAUUACAUCCACUCUUGGUAAUGGCACCUGUCUUAUUCCCAUUUUACAGAUGAGGAAACUAAGGCUCAGAGAGACAGUGACUUGCUCAAGGUCACACAGCUAGGAUGGGACAAGACCGGAAUUGAAGCCCCACAUGUCUGCACGCUUAGCCUCUGUGUUUUAUCCUGAAAUGUGACUGCUUUCCACUGGGCUGGGGGCCUAAAGACCAGAUCCAGGUGAGUUCCUGUUUGUGUGGUCCUUCCUUUUCCCAUACCAAAGUCUGAUGCAGCUCCAGCCCAGCCUGGGCCUGCCACCUCUCUUGUGACCCCAGGGUCCACGGCUCCAAGCAGGGCUGGAAGAGAGGAAGAGAACUCUGUGUGUCCUGGGAGCUUGGCUUCUUGCUGCACUGAGAACGGCGCUCCCUACCCUGGUCCCUGAAAUGGUCUGUCUUCGUGAUGAGGAAUCAGAGGCCUCCGAGAAAGAAAAAUGACUUUUCCCAGGAUGCCUGUGCCAGCUACUGACCCAUGCAAUCAGGACUGGGUGCUUUCUGAUGCCAUCCCAGAGCAGGGAUGGGCUGGUGCAGACAGAAAGCCAAAUCAUAGGUGGGUGGGGAGGGGAAGGAAGCUUGUUUCUUGGUUGCCAGUGAUGUGUUGGCUGCUAAAGGGAAGGGCUCAGGGGCCACAUCUUAGCAGCUUUGUCUUUCUCAACUGUAUGUAAAAAGUGAGAAUGUCUGGAGUUCCCUUGUGGGUUAAGAACCGGGCGUUGUCCCUGUGGCGACACGAGUGGCUGCUGUGGGGUGUGGGUCUGAUCCCUGGCUCAGGAACUUCCGCAUGCCACAGACCCAGCCAAAAAUAAGAGUGAGGCUGUUUGUGGUCCUUCGCUCAUGCGUUCAAUGCGUGCCAGUUACAAGAAGAAACCAUCACUUGUUUCCUUGUCGAAUAAUAUACUAAUAUGAUUCAUAAUAUUAUAACAGCACUGUGGGGUAGGAAUACUUCGACUUUCCAGAUGAGAGAACCAAGGCUCACAGAGGUUGGGGAACGGGGCUCAGCCACGGAGCUGGUCAGUGGCAGAUCCUGGGUUCCAGCUGGGGGUUGCAUGGUCCAGGGCUUGCUUCUGUGUCUAACACUUCAGCUCCAGCUGGCGGGGCGGCGUCAGGAGGACAGGGAUAUUGAGCAGAUAGGGGACAUGAGGCACUCCACACAGGUCAGCCUUUGACCUGGGCCUCCAGGGUGAGUGAGUUUCGGUGCCCGGACUCCCAUAGUUUUCAACCACCCUGCACCACAGAAAAAUCCAGAAGGUAUAAGUUGCCCUGUAGGCCAGGGGCAAGGGCUCUGGGACCUUGCUGCUUAGCUGGUCCUGGUUCUUAUGGAACCUUCCCAGAUCACUAGUCACUUGCUGUGGGGGUGCUUUCCUUAGUAGUAGAGAAGGACAAAUUCCUCUUAAAUAACUUUUCCUUCUUUUCAAAUCUUAUUUGUGAUUUUUAAAAAUAUUCAAGAACUGGCACACUUUUUUUUUUUUUUUUCUUUUUCGGCUGCACCCAGGGCAUAUGGAAGUUCCUGGGGCCAGGGAU
ensembl:lncRNA